AGGAGGAGGAUGGGGGGGGAAGUUUAUUGGGAAUCGCUGACAGGGAGCGGGGAGGCAGGCCGGCGCCGCGGGAGGCUGCCGGGAGAGCGCGGGGAUUAAUGCGUCUGGGUUGGGCCGGGAAACGGCGGCACGAAACUUCGUGUCUGUGGGCUGCGCCGCCGAGGAGGCGGCCGGCGGCGGGCUCGGCCGCGGGGCCGCCCGUUCUGCCCGCCUGCCGGGCGGGCGGUGUCAGCUCAGGACAGGCUGCCGGGCUGUGCCGUGCGAGGCUCGCUCGGUGUGUCUCAAAAAGGUAUCCUGAGGUCGCGCCUCCUCCCGCCGAAACGCCUCAGCAGCCGCCGCGCUGGGCUGCCCCCGCGGGAGCCGGGCGACGGGGCCGGGCCGGUGGUCCGGCGCGCCGGAGAAUAACCUUUUUGUGUGGAUGUGUGUUUUUAAAUCCCCGGCUCUGCCGGAGCUAAGGCACGCCGCGGAGAGCCCAGCAGUUAGUUGCCCGGGAGCGGCGGGCGUCCUCCCCGAGAGGCAGAAGGGCCGAGAGGAGCCGGGUCCGGGGCUGGGGCAGCGCCGUCCUGCCCCAUCCCCAGCGGGCAGUCCCGUUGAACUAGCUGGGCGCUGGUGGGACGUGGAAACCUGCUGUCAAUGGAAAACCCCGAAGUUCAAAUACUCGAGGGUUUGGUUUUUUGUUUUGGGGUUUUUUUUCCAGUUAAAAAAAGCAGGAAACUGGGUGCGAAGCGGAAGGUGCAUAUUCAGAGCGAACACAACAGUUCUUUAAUGGUGGAUUACAUCUCUUUCAGGGACAGGGAGGAAGGGGAGUAAUUGAUGACCUCCCUGGUGAGGUAUCACUGCACUCAGUGGAUGUUUGUGCUUUUCUGUACAACUCACCGCAAACUAUGAGGUGACAUAUCUUUAUGCUAAUGCCUGUAUUUGUGUAACGCUUUAGGGACUUUAUGCUGUCUUCCAGAUGCAGCUUAUAUGUUCACAUCCCUUCUGGAGAGUAUUACCUCCACUCUGUAGGUGCAAAAGCUUUCGCGUAAGGGUGUGGAGUGGCUGUGUUCCAGGUCAGGAGAGCAGGAGACCCAGGACUCCCCAGAACCUCACUCGCUGGUUCCUAGCCUUCCGUCUUAACUGUGAGGCCAUCCUUCCUCACUUAGGUAGAUAAGUGAGCAUAGUGUUCUGCCUUCACCUGAGAAAUAGGAUGUGAAUCAUGUUUGAGACACUAAAUGGGAAAAAUCAAGUUAUGUCAUAAUUUCUUAGUUCUCCCUUCACUUCCUUAUGCUUACUACUAAUUAUUUUAGGGGUUUUUUUUUUCCUAGUCUUGUUUAACAAAAAAACUGGGAAAAAAAAUUAUCUGUGCUUGGCUUCAUUCAACAUCAAGCUUUUAUGGUAAUACUACUUGUAAUUGAGUUAAUCUUUUGAAGCCUUUUCUUUAGGCCUCUUGUAGGAAAAUAUACAGUAUUUCUAAGUGUAAAUCUGAAGAGAGCUUCCUGUUCCUUUAAAUUGGAAAUAUGCAUGUUUCAUGUAGGACUGUUUAACUUUCUGCCCUCACUUAUUUUUAUUAAGGUGUUUAUGCAGCUUGAAGGUCUAGGACAUACUUGGAAGAAAACACUUUUGUCUCGGGUUUUCUUCAGUUAAUAAUGAUGAAUCUGUGACUCUCUCUCCAGGAGACAUUUUGGAAAGGCGGAAGAGACAAAGUCAUUCAUGUAUUUCUAAGUCAACAAUUGAGCAAAAGGUUCUUGUAGGAAACCUACCUGGCUUUUCUCAAAUAACAUAAGCUGGCGAAACCAACUAUUUCCCCCCCCCUUGCUUUUGAGAUUACUUCCUGAGUGGUGCUAUGUUUGCUACUGGCUUUUGUGCCAUGUGUUAAACAAAAGCUUACUGUCAGUGCAAACUAAUGAAUUUUCUUCUCGAGGCUGGGUGGCAGAAGCCUUUUCCAUAGAUCCAUGACUCUAUUUACAUUUGUGUCCUGUUAUACAGAGCAUCAUAUUAUGUACGUGCUGAGUAUCAUGUGUCUGCGGUGGAUCUUGCCUUUCAGUUCUAGCUUGUGUAGACUGACCUUUUAAAUACUGAAGCUGAACUAGUUUACAAAAUUAAUUAAAUGCUGAUACAAUAGCAGUUAGUAUCACUGCUACUGAUGUCAGUGUUUGCCAUUACAUUUGAUCACGUUUUUUUUCUAAUUUGAUAGUGAGUUUCAUCUUGGCCACUUCCAACUAUAUUGUGCCUUGAAAAUGUUUGAGAAGUGACUAACAUUAGCCUGGUAGAGUUUCCUUGUUUGCAUCUCAUUCAUUUUUUCAUUGUAUGUAAUCCUUUUACAAGGAAUUACACAGAUUUAUAAAGGGCCCCCCAAACUGGAUUUGUGUUCUACAAUUACUAGAUGAAUUACUGUCCGGAGUCAACCUUUCCAACAACUCGCAAAGGCCAGAACAGGGGACUACUGCUUUUGAUACUUUCAAACUUGGAAGGCAGAUGCGUAUGCAAAAUGGUUUGUGGUGUCCUCAGAGUUCUGGGAGAAGAUUUUUGGCGUCCUGCCCCACAGCCAUGUAAAUUUUCCUUCAUACAAAUGUUCAUUGCCGUCUUUUACAUUCCUCUGCUGACAGUGAAGAGGUCAUGCUAAAUCAAACUGAUGGAGAAACUGGACAUCAUCUUUACCCAGGAUGCCCAAAUUAAUUCUACCAAAACAAGAGAAUGUACUCUUCACAGAUGUAUGUGGGUCCAGCAGAGCUAAAUACUUGUGAAACUAAGGUGGUACAGGAAGACUGUGGAAGACCUGGUAAUUAAACCCACCUUUCAAGUAAAGACACAAGUAUAUUGCAACCUUUGGAGAGCCAAACACUUUUCUGAAAACCAAACACUUCUAAAGAACAAGUCAUCAUCUGUGACCACUGAUAGGCCACUAGAAAAGCAAAUCUGUCUUUUCAUCAGUGCAUUUUCCCAUGUGAUGCUCUGACAGUACCAGUGCUAUCGGUGGCAUCAGCUGACCUGAUAGUCAUUGGUGGGUACAUGAAUGUCAUGACACAUCACAGGUCCCAGGAUUAGGCCUUCUGAGAAGCUGCAACAGUACCUUGUAGAUUGACUGAACGCUGAAUGGCACGCAGAAAACACCUCCAAGGACAAGGACAAUGUGGAGAGCAUGAAUAAAUGACCACCAUCUCAGCGGAUGCUUUGUACAGGAGGAUACGUGUCCUGGAUAUCUCUCAUUUCCUGUAGCUGAAGAAAUGUUCUUUUUUGCUUCGUUAUAUCAUGCUGACCACUUGCUGCUGUAUUUGUCCAGAGCUGGUGUCAUACAGCUCAGCCCUUGCCCUCCCCUGAGCUGCACCAGAGGAGCAGUGAACGAGCAGCUCCUAGUCAAAGGAGCUGGAAGGACAGAUUUGGGCUCUUUUCUCACCCUGCUGUGAACUUGGUCAUAGCCAGUGAUUUGGGUCACGCCUUGAUCCCUGCUAGACCAAGCUGCAUGAGCUAUGUAAAGCAAGCUGCUUUACAGUCAGAUGACACUGGGAGUUCCUCUAUCACUCCAUCUUUUCUGCCUCAGGCAAUGCCCUCACUCUUAUUUCAAGCUCUUUCCCCCUACACGUGUUUGACCUGUUUGGGAGCAGAGUCGGGAGCGUUUAAAUCCUUCAACAUUACGUGGCCAGCAGGACUGGAGGAGCAGCCUGCUCCAAGCAGAGCUCCCCCUCAGACUACUUGCAGUCAUAUCCAAAUGGCAGUGGGGAAAAAAAAAGGCUAAUUGUAUGCUCUCCAAUUUUCUCUGUUAGGAAGAUCAAAAGAACUGCUGCCUUUACUGGCAAAUCUCAAGGAUGAAUUGUGGCAGCCAGACCUGUACUGGUCUGUGUUGAACUGUAGUCACCCAGAAUAAAUCAGCACUAAUUGCAGUCUAGGGCUGCGAUUCCAGAGGGGCUGCUUAAGUACCACGCAGUGACGCCGACUGCCUGGCCGGUAAAACCAGUGGCAAAACUCCCAGGGACCUCAGGAGGCGCAGGACUGAGGCUGCACCCUUGCCUGCUUUAAAGCCAAAUAUCUUGUUACCUUUCUGAGGAAACAGGAUGGAUACAGCGAUGUGGUGAGCACUGUGAUUCCACCUUUGGCAGUGCGUAGCUGUCCCUGUGUUGUGGGAUCCAGAGGAAAGGCAAUACCUGGGCUUUCUGGCCACAGGAGACCUGCACAAAGUUGCUCUGGUGGCCUUGGAGAAGAUGGGGUGGCUGCUGGUUCAGGUUCUCAUCCUUUCCCAGCUUUACCCAUGGCAAGAUCUGCCACCCGCCACUACAGAGGCCAUCUCCUGGCCCCAUGGCUGGCUGUGGCACCAGCCAGACCAUCCAUUUCUACCGUGGCCAAGCAAAUUUUUCUUCUGUUGCUCUCACCUGAGACGAUUCCUCUUCUUCUGUGCCUCCCUCCAGAGGUGGCGGGUGCUGCCAUAUGAGUAAUCAUGGCUUAGUCACGUUUGUCACAGGAAUGCAGAAGGAUCAGCAAAACAUGGUGUCCACAAUGCAAAAAGACUUCUAUUGCAUCAAAUUUUAUUUUAAUUUCAUUCUCGCUGAAACUAUCUUUGAAACUAAUGCUGCUUUAAAUACAAUGAAAUAGGUAUAUACAAAUUUCAGAUUUUCCUCAUAAAGGACAGGCAGGAAAAGGAAUUCAAGUCAGUUUAAAAGCCUGACUAGCCUGAAGACGCAAGUGCUAGACAAUUUUGAAGAAACUUUCUUUACUGCUAUAAAGGGAAUUGCUUUUUCUUCAGAAAAAUGAGGCAAACAUUGGCAAAAACGUCGGUGCAAAAGCACAAACGCAGUCUGCAGGAAAGCAAAGGGAGCAAGCCACCU